rnacentral:rRNA from 1 species
AUUGAACGCUGGCGGCAUGCCUUACACAUGCAAGUCGAACGGUAACAGGUCUUCGGAUGCUGACGAGUGGCGAACGGGUGAGUAAUACAUCGGAACGUGCCCGAGAGUGAGGGAUAACGAAGCGAAAGCUUUGCUAAUACCGCAUACGAUCUCAGGAUGAAAGCAGGGGACCGCAAGGCCUUGCGCUCACGGAGCGGCCGAUGGCAGAUUAGGUAGUUGGUGGGAUAAAAGCUUACCAAGCCGACGAUCUGUAGCUGGUCUGAGAGGACGACCAGCCACACUGGGACUGAGACACGGCCCAGACUCCUACGGGAGGCAGCAGUGGGGAAUUUUGGACAAUGGGCGCAAGCCUGACCCAGCCAUGCCGCGUGCAGGAUGAAGGCCUUCGGGUUGUAAACUGCUUUUGUACGGAACGAAAAGACUCUGGUUAAUACCUGGGGUCCAUGACGGUACCGUAAGAAUAAGCACCGGCUAACUACGUGCCAGCCGCCGCUGUAAUAC